UUCUCACCCUAACUCAUGUUUGUUACUGACGCUUAUUUUAAUGCAACACGUGUUGGCAAUCCAGGGCUCUUUAUAUUGGGCAUACGUCCCCGACCCACCCUUAUUGCUCAUCACAA